UGCAGCUCUCCCAAGGCCAUACUGGCCCGCUCCUCUGCAGUGCAGGGCCUGCGUGGAGACUGUGUUUCCUCUGCCAGGUGGAGAGCAGCUUGAAGACAAGGACUGGGUUUUUAUCCCCAGUACCUCAACAGGGAGAGGAAGACCACAGAGGUGAAGCACCAUUCUCAUCACAUCAGAUCAAGGGUACAUCCUAUCAACAUGACCUACUACUGUUGAUGCUGACCUUGAUCACCUGGCUAAGUUUUCAAAAAUAGCAGAGCCCACUUUCUGCACCCUCCAGCGGAUACCUAUCUGGAAACAAAAGGCGGAGUCUGAAAGAGGGGCAAGGACUUGGCUGGCCGGGGACUAUGGGAAAGACUCAAGAGGAGGGACAGAGGUGCCUACACCUCCCUCCGCCCCCUCCUAAAACUUCUUAGCUUCAGAUAACACCCUUUUGUUCUCCUUGUGACUCCACACCCAUGGGGAGAGGGAAUGAGGAAACCUUCGGGGAAGUGCCACCUAUCUGAUGAAGGGAAUCCUCCAGGGAAGCGGUGCGUGUCUUCCAGCGGCUUCUCACCAGACUCACGAUCAGGCUAAACACCAUUUCUGCUGGAUUUGGAGUAUUUUUGAGCAGCAUUAAGAGAAUUUCUGUCACCAUGGACGUCCCCUGGCCCACAGUGACAUCUCUGUAUUAGUACAGCAUCAGUACGGCACUCCUCAGCUCUCCUUUGGAAUUUGGUGUCUCUGCCAGGAAUGGAAUGAAGACAGUAUGAGUGCUCAUUUUUAAUGGAUUUUUCCCAUACUUGGAAAUUAAUAGCCCCCAAUUCCAAAUCCUCAGACCAGCUAUCCUCUACCUCCUUCCUUAGGGGCAGAAAGUAAGAGCAAACGUUGGAGUUGACUGGUGAAACCAUUAAGCAAAAAAUAGAAAAGCAUUUGAUGGUGUUGGUUGGGACUUCCCUCCGCUACCUGGGGCUCCUUCAUGUGGGCCUUUUCCCUGAUCCCUCAACAGUCACCUGCUUCCCCACUGUGACUCUGCCAGACCCCUUUGCCCACAGGCCAUCUCCCUGUCACCCCAGAACUCGCGUCCUUUCCCUGCUCCUUUCUAUGGGGUUGCCCGAUUCACAGGCUCUUGCUUCCCCAACAUUCUUCAGAGGAGGGAGAGGGGUGAUGUGUCAGGGUGACUUACUAGGUCUGCUAGGGGCUUGGUGGCCUGAUGAGGAGCCCCACGGACACACUGAAGCCCUAUCCUACUGGUUUCGUGUGGACCUGAGGGCCCUCCCCAGGGCGCACCUCAGAUGAGGUAGGGCUGUACCCACAGGGUACCCGGUGGGCCCAGCAUUGGACUGGCAGCUGGAAAACCUGUCCACAUCGGGCUGGAAAGAAGGGAGAAUGCUUCUUGCCCCUUUGAGAUGAUUAUGAAAAUUUGAGACAAGUAAUGGCAUCGUAAAAGUAGAGCCCUGAAUCAGAAAGGUGGGUAGAAGAAUUUUAACCACUCAGGACCCGGGUGUCAGCAAGAGAACAUGGCUGAACUCUCAAGUCCUCAGCGGCAGUUUUAGAAGUUGGUCAAAGAACCUGUCCCCUUCAGCAAAACCACACAUGCCCGAUAAACAGCCCGAGUGUCUGUCAAAUCAGUAUCACGCUCAGAGAGAGACUUUCGGGAUGGUUUCCAGAGUCCAGGAAAAGCCUUAAAAUGCAGGACAGAGGUGUUGCCAGCAGCCUUGUGUUAAAAGCCAAAGAAAGUGGUUAUUAAACAAGGCCCCUGGAAGAGCUGGAGCCAGCGUAGACUGGUCAUCAGCUGAAACUCACUGAGGCUGCUCUUCUCAGCUGCAAGUGACCCUCUCGGAGAGGCUGCCUACGUCCUGGAUAGAGCAUCAAUGAAGCUCCACAUUAAUGAAGAAUAUGUCUGCACUCCAAACUUAUCGAACUGUGUACAUUAAAUAUCUUCAGCUUUUGUAUCAAUCAUGUCUCAAUAAAGUGGUUUUAAAA
ensembl:lncRNA